GCGAACGCCGCGGCCCGCCCCGCCCCGGCCCCGGCCCCGAGCGCAGGCUGCCCGCCCGCCCCCAGCCCCGCGGCUCCUCUCCCGCAUCUCCGAUGCCCCGGGCACUUUCCAUAGCGGUGACAGGGUCGUUGAGAGCUGUCGGGAGGGACGGCCAGACCACUGUCGCCAAUCUAGACAAUGGAAAGGCAGUGGUCGAGUAGCAGGACAGAUGCCGGAGAAGGACUCAAUUCUGGAUCCUCUGUCUCCUAAGGACAUAACACAGUACUGUGAACCCAGUCUCACACUUGUCUGGACAUAACUCUAAACAAGCUUUUUAAAGGCCAGCUCGAUUUUUCAAGUUGUGGUCUUGCGGACUUUACAAAGUGGGUAAUGCUAUUUGACUGUUGUUCAGAAAGGCAGAAACGUGUAUCUGCAGUGCCGUGAUGUUGAGAGGGGUACAGGAUUACACAGCUGUCUUCUUAGAUAAAUCUGACCUACUUAGCCUUCUCUGGAGGUAUUUUUCAUGCUGACUCAUGAACAACAGGAAAGUUUUGGCCCAUUAAGUAACAUCCAUGUUUUGAAGUAAACUUGUUCUCCAAAGAAG
rnacentral:lncRNA from 1 species